rnacentral:rRNA from 1 species
ACACAUGCAGUCGAGGGGUAACAGAAGAAAGCUUGCUUUCUUGCUGACGACCGGCGCACGGGUGCGUAACGCGUAUACAAUCUACCUCUUACUGAGGGAUAGCCCAUGGAAACGUGGAUUAAUACCUCAUAGUAUUAUUGAUCGGCAUCGAUUAGUGAUUAAAGGUUACGGUAAGAGAUGAGUAUGCGUCCUAUUAGCUAGAUGGUAAGGUAACGGCUUACCAUGGCAACGAUAGGUAGGGGUCCUGAGAGGGAGAUCCCCCACACUGGUACUGAGACACGGACCAGACUCCUACGGGAGGCAGCAGUGAGGAAUAUUGGACAAUGGGCGAGAGCCUGAUCCAGCCAUGCCGCGUGCAGGAAGACUGCCCUAUGGGUUGUAAACUGCUUUUACAGAGGAAGAAACCCCUUUACGAGUAAAGGGCUGACGGUACUCUGCGAAUAAGGAUCGGCUAACUCCGUGCCAGCAGCCGCGGUAAUACGGAGGAUCCAAGCGUUAUCCGGAAUCAUUGGGUUUAAAGGGUCCGUAGGCGGAUUUAUAAGUCAGGUGGUGAAAGUCUUCCGCUUAGACGGGGAGAACUGCCAUUGAUACUGUAGAUCUUGAAUUUAUUAUGAAGUGGUUAGAAUGUGUAGUGUAGCGGGUGAAAUGCAUAGAUAUUACACAGAAUACCGAUUGCGAAGGCAGAUCACUAAUAAUAUAUUGACGCUGAUGGACGAAAGCGUAGGUAGCGAACAGGAUUAGAUACCCUGGUAGUCUACGCCGUAAACGAUGGUUACUAGCUGUCCGGCCCAAUUGAGGGCUGGGUGGUUAAGCGAAAGUGAUAAGUAACCCACCUGGGGAGUACGUUCGCAAGAAUGAAACUCAAAGGAAUUGACGGGGGCCCGCACAAGCGGUGGAGCAUGUGGUUUAAUUCGAUGAUACGCGAGGAACCUUACCAGGGCUUAAAUGCAGUCUGACAGGGAUGGAAACAUCUUUUUCUUCGGACAGAUUGCAAGGUGCUGCAUGGUUGUCGUCAGCUCGUGCCGUGAGGUGUCAGGUUAAGUCCUAUAACGAGCGCAACCCCUGUGGUUAGUUGCCAGCACGUAAUGGUGGGAACUCUAGCCAGACUGCCGGUGCAAACCGUGAGGAAGGUGGGGAUGACGUCAAAUCAUCACGGCCCUUACGUCCUGGGCCACACACGUGCUACAAUGGUAGGGACAGAGAGCAGCCACUGGGCGACCAGGAGCGAAUCUAUAAACCCUAUCACAGUUCGGAUCGUAGUCUGCAACUCGACUACGUGAAGCUGGAAUCGCUAGUAAUCGCAUAUCAGCCAUGAUGCGGUGAAUACGUUCCCGGGCCUUGUACACACCGCCCGUCAAGCCAUGGAAGCUGGGGGUACCUGAAGUCCGUUACCGUAAGGAGCGCCCU